UCAGCUGCAUUAGUGACAAUGGUACGCCAUUCUGUUAUUCUGCUAUUUGUCUUUACAUGUACUGUGUAUGGAAAUGAAAUCAAACCCACUAAAACUGUGGACUUUGCUGUUGGGGGUUCAAGUGCUACAUUAUCCUGCAGUUAUUCAUCCGCACAAAAUUUAUUCUGGUACCGACAGUUUCCCGGGUCAGCUCCUGAAUUUCUUGUAAUUCUCUUUUAUGGCGCAAAAGACGCAAAGAAGUCUGAUGUAGAUCCUAGAUUUACAGCGAAACCCAACAAAGAAAAGGAAAACCACGUGGAUCUGGAGAUCUCCUCUGUUAAAGUGACAGACUCUGCUCUGUAUUACUGUGCCCUGACGCCCACAGUGACAGGAAACACAUCAACACUGUACAAAAACCUGACACGUCAGGGAAAUAUAUUUAUAGGAAAUUUAUGAGAAAAUACUUAAAUGCCUAAUAAGAUGGCUGUUUUUUAAGAUGUUACUAUACAUGAUUAAAUUCAAGUGUGAUCAUCAAAUCUUGAAUUACAUGCAGACCUCUGUAUUAUAUCUGGGCGUUUUUUUCACAGUUAGAG